GUCAAUCACUCAGAUUGAACGCUGGCGGUAGGCUUAACACAUGCAAGUCGAACGAUGAGUCUCUAGCUUGCUAGAGAUGAUUAGUGGCGGACGGGUGAGUAACAUUUAGGAAUCUGCCUAGUAGUGGGGGAUAGCUCGGGGAAACUCGAAUUAAUACCGCAUACGACCUACGGGUGAAAGGGGGCGCAAGCUCUUGCUAUUAGAUGAGCCUAAAUCAGAUUAGCUAGUUGGUGGGGUAAAGGCCCACCAAGGCGACGAUCUGUAACUGGUCUGAGAGGAUGAUCAGUCACACCGGAACUGAGACACGGUCCGGACUCCUACGGGAGGCAGCAGUGGGGAAUAUUGGACAAUGGGGGCAACCCUGAUCCAGCCAUGCCGCGUGUGUGAAGAAGGCCUUUUGGUUGUAAAGCACUUUAAGCAGGGAGGAGAGGCUAAUGGUUAAUACCCAUUAGAUUAGACGUUACCUGCAGAAUAAGCACCGGCUAACUCUGUGCCAGCAGCCGCGGUAAUACAGAGGGUGCGAGCGUUAAUCGGAAUUACUGGGCGUAAAGCGAGUGUAGGUGGCUCAUUAAGUCACAUGUGAAAUCCCCGGGCUUAACCUGGGAACUGCAUGUGAUACUGGUGGUGCUAGAAUAUGUGAGAGGGAAGUAGAAUUCCAGGUGUAGCGGUGAAAUGCGUAGAGAUCUGGAGGAAUACCGAUGGCGAAGGCAGCUUCCUGGCAUAAUAUUGACACUGAGAUUCGAAAGCGUGGGUAGCAAACAGGAUUAGAUACCCUGGUAGUCCACGCCGUAAACGAUGUCUACUAGCCGUUGGGGUCCUUGAGACUUUAGUGGCGCAGUUAACGCGAUAAGUAGACCGCCUGGAGACGCCGCCUUGG
rnacentral:rRNA from 2 species